ensembl:rRNA 5S_rRNA 5S ribosomal RNA
ACUUACGGCAACACCGGCCUGAGUACGCCUGAUCUCGUCCGAUCUCGGAAGCUAAGCAGGGUCGGGCCUGGUUAGUACUUGGAUGGGAGACAGCCUGGCAAUACCAGGUGCUGUAAGAU